UACGGGGGGGGCAAGCGUUGUUCGGAAUUACUGGGCGUAAAGGGCUCGUAGGUGGCCAACUAAGUCAGACGUGAAAUCCCCAGGCUCAACUUGGGAACUGCGUCUGAUACUGGAUGGCUUGAAUUCGGGAGAGGGAUGCAGAAUUCCAGGUGUAGCGGUGAAAUGCGCAGAUAUCAGGAGGAACACCGAUGGCGAAGGCAGCUCGCUGGGACGGUACUGACGCUGAGGCGCGAAAGCCAGGGGAGCAAACGGG
rnacentral:rRNA from 1 species